GCGUGAGUGAUGAAGGCCUUCGGGUUGUAAAGCUCUUUUGCCAGGGAUGAUAAUGACCGUACCUGGAGAAUAAGCCCCGGCUAACUUCGUGCCAGCAGCCGCGGUAAUACGAAGGGGGCUAGCGUUGUUCGGAAUUACUGGGCGUAAAGCGUGCGCAGGCGGUUUCUCAAGUCAGGGGUGAAAGCCCGGAGCUCAACUCCGGAAUUGCCUUUGAAACUGUGAAACUGGAGUGCGGGAGAGGUGAGUGGAAUUCCCAGUGUAGAGGUGAAAUUCGU
rnacentral:rRNA from 1 species